AUGAAAUAUUAGUUCUGGUUGCUAGUGCAGAUCUGGACUCGGAUCAAGGGUGUCGAGAGGGUCCUGGGUCCUGUUCCUUUGCCUUUCAAAAAGACUUUUUACGGAUUGAGAAUUUUUAAAUACCACUAGGGGAAAGGUGAAGGUUCUUUGCAGCCUUCAGUGUUGAAAUGGACGAAGGUAAGGAAGGCAAAUCAUUUUAAGACGAAAUCUCCGAUUUUUUAAAAAAGGAGGAAAAAAGCAGGGUGGCUAAGGAUAAAGAAAGAGGACUUGAGAAAAUGUGGAGAAUGAAAAACAGGAGAGCAGCGAGCAAAAGCAAAGAUCCAGAGUUCAAAGAGACUGGCAGAAGGAAAUAGCUGCGGGCUGAGUGCUGAAGAGGGGAGGGACUGACGGCUGCCGGCCGGUAGGAGCGCGGAGCUGCGCUGCGGCGGCCCAGGAGCUGCUGCGGUUCCCGCUGCUCGGGGAGCAGGCGGUGUGUGCGC
rnacentral:lncRNA from 1 species